UUCAUCAAGAGUAGCUGAGGGACUGGCCCGAUGAAGCUACGGCAACCACACAGAUGUGAACGGUGCCAAAUCCAACGGAAGCAUUCCGGCAGAUGA
rnacentral:ncRNA from 1 species